UACGGAGGAGGCAAGCGUUAUCCGGAAUUAUUGGGCGUAAAGCGUCCGCAGGUGGCACUUCAAGUCUGUCGUCAAAGACUGGGGCUUAACCCUGGAAAGGCGGUGGAAACUGAAGCGCUAGAGUGCGGUAGGGGUAGAGGGAAUUCCCGGUGUAGCGGUGAAAUGCGUAGAGAUCGGGAAGAACAUCGGUGGCGAAAGCGCUCUACUGGACCGCAACUGACACUCAGGGAUGAAAGCUAGGGGAGCGAAUGGG
rnacentral:rRNA from 1 species